rnacentral:lncRNA from 1 species
CAACUUUACAGUAUUUGUUUUUCUACCAUGGUACAGGUGGUACAGGUUAGUUAUAAUUACAAAGUUAUUACACACCCUGAAUUAUUAAACAACAACCCAGUCUCAAACUACACAUAAAUAUCUCUGAAAUACACAUCCUUACCAUUCUUCUUAAACAAAGAAUUAUAUAAUAUAUUAAUGCAAAGGAGUAGGUUCAGUAAGACCCCUUUUUGGCUCCAAAACAUAGCAGUUUUAGAAAACUGUGAAAAUGUAAUCUUUAAGCUAUAUUUUGGAAAAUUAAAAUACUUC